UACGUAGGGGGCUAGCGUUGUCCGGAUUUAUUGGGCGUAAAGAGCUCGUAGGCGGUCUGUCGCGUCUGCUGUGAAAACUCAGGGCUUAACCCUGAGCUUGCAGUGGGUACGGGCAGACUAGAGUGCGGUAGGGGAGACUGGAAUUCCUGGUGUAGCGGUGAAAUGCGCAGAUAUCAGGAGGAACACCGGUGGCGAAGGCGGGGUCUCUGGGCCGUA
rnacentral:rRNA from 1 species